rnacentral:rRNA from 1 species
GACGAACGCCGGCGGCGUGCUUAACACAUGCAAGUCGAACGGUAAGGCCCUUCGGGGUACACGAGUGGCGAACGGGUGAGUAACACGUGGGUGAUCUGCCCUGCACUUCGGGAUAAGCCUGGGAAACUGGGUCUAAUACCGGAUAGGACCACUGCCUGCAUGGGUGGUGGCGGAAAGCUUUUGCGGUGUGGGAUGGGCCCGCGGCCUAUCAGCUUGUUGGGGGGGUGAUGGCCUACCAAGGCGACGACGGGUAGCCGGCCUGAGAGGGUGACCGGCCACACUGGGACUGAGAUACGGCCCAGACUCCUACGGGAGGCAGCAGUGGGGAAUAUUGCACAAUGGGCGCAAGCCUGAUGCAGCGACGCCGCGUGAGGGAUGACGGCCUUCGGGUUGUAAACCUCUUUCAGCACCGACGAAGCGCAAGUGACGGUAGGUGCAGAAGAAGGACCGGCCAACUACGUGCCAGCAGCCGCCGUAA